AUUGAACGCUGGCGGCAGGCCUAACACAUGCAAGUCGAGCGGAUGAAGGGAGCUUGCUCAUGGAUUCAGCGGCGGACGGGUGAGUAAUGCCUAGGAAUCUGCCUGGUAGUGGGGGAUAACGUCCGGAAACGGGCGCUAAUACCGCAUACGUCCUGAGGGAGAAAGUGGGGGAUCUUCGGACCUCACGCUAUCAGAUGAGCCUAGGUCGGAUUAGCUAGUUGGUGGGGUAAAGGCCUACCAAGGCGACGAUCCGUAACUGGUCUGAGAGGAUGAUCAGUCACACUGGAACUGAGACACGGUCCAGACUCCUACGGGAGGCAGCAGUGGGGAAUAUUGGACAAUGGGCGAAAGCCUGAUCCAGCCAUGCCGCGUGUGUGAAGAAGGUCUUCGGAUUGUAAAGCACUUUAAGUUGGGAGGAAGGGCAGUAAGUUAAUACCUUGCUGUUUUGACGUUACCAACAGAAUAAGCACCGGCUAACUUCGUG
rnacentral:rRNA from 1 species